rnacentral:rRNA from 1 species
AUUGAACGCUGGCGGCAUGCUUUACACAUGCAAGUCGAACGGUAACAGGCCGCAAGGUGCUGACGAGUGGCGCACGGGUGAGUAAUGCAUCGGAACGUGCCCAGUCGUGGGGGAUAACUACUCGAAAGAGUAGCUAAUACCGCAUACGAUCUAUGGAUGAAAGCGGGGGACCGUAAGGCCUCGCGCGAGUGGAUCGGCCGAUGUCAGAUUAGGUAGUUGGUGGGGUAAAGGCUCACCAAGCCAACGAUCUGUAGCUGGUCUGAGAGGACAACCAGCCACACUGGGACUGAGACACGGCCCAGACUCCUACGGGAGGCAGCAGUGGGGAAUUUUGGACAAUGGGCGCAAGCCUGAUCCAGCAAUGCCGCGUGCAGGAAGAAGGCCUUCGGGUUGUAAACUGCUUUUGUACGGAACGAAACGGCUCUGGUUAAUACCCGGGGCUAAUGACGGUACCGUAAGAAUAAGCACCGGCUAACUACGUG